rnacentral:rRNA from 1 species
UACGUAGGGUGCGAGCGUUAAUCGGAAUUAUUGGGCGUAAAGAGCGUGUAGGCGGCCAGGUAGGUCCGUUGUGAAAACUCGAGGCUCAACCUCGAGACGCCGAUGGAAACCACCUGGCUAGAGUCCGGAAGAGGAGAGUGGAAUUCCUGGUGUAGCGGUGAAAUGCGCAGAUAUCAGGAAGAACACCCGUGGCUAAGGCGGCUCUCUAGUACGGUACUGACGCUGAGACGCGAAAGCGUGGGGAGCGAACAGG